rnacentral:rRNA from 1 species
AAGAUUAAGCCAUGCAUGUCUAAGUAUAAGCAAUUUAUACAGUGAAACUGCGAAUGGCUCAUUAAAUCAGUUAUCGUUUAUUUGAUAGUACCUUUACUACUUGGUAUAACCGUGGUAAUUCUAGAGCUAAUACAUGCUAAAAACCCCGACUGUUUGGAAGGGGUGUAUUUAUUAGGUAAAAAAUCAAUGCUCUUCUGAGCUCUUUGAUGAUUCAUAAUAACUUUUCGAAUCGCAU